CAAUAGCGUAUAUUAAAGUUGUUGCAGUUAAAAAGCUCGUAGUUGGAUUUCUGGUUGAAGCGACCGGUCGGGCGUUGAUUCGUCUGCACUGGAGUCGGUUUUGGCCAUCCUCUAGGAAAGUGCGUCUGGUAUUAAGUUAUCGGGCGUAUGAUCCUGGUCUUUUACUGUGAAAAAAUUAGAGUGUUUAAAGCAGGCCUUCGCCUUGAAUACAUUAGCAUGGAAUAAUAAGAUAGGACUUUGGUCUAUUUUGUUGGUUUGCAGACCGAAGUAAUGAUUAAUAGGGAUAGUUGGGGGUAUUUAUAUUCCGAUGUCAGAGGUGCAAUUCUUAGAUUUUCGGAAGAUAAACUUAUGCGAAAGCAUUUACCAAGGAUGUUUUCAUUAA
rnacentral:rRNA from 1 species